rnacentral:rRNA from 1 species
CGUGGGCGGUUCGCUGCCUGCGACGUCGCGAGAAUUCCACUGAACCUUAUCAUUUAGAGGAAGGAGAAGUCGUAACAAGGUUUCCGUAGGUGAACCUGCGGAAGGAUCAUUGUCGAACCCUGCAAAGCAGAACGACCCGUGAACACGUAAAAACAACCGAGCGUCGGUUGGACCAAGCGCYUGUUUGGUCCUCUCGACGCUUUGUCGACGCGCGUUCACUCGAGUUCUUUUGGACCUUGUGAAUGCGUCGUUGGCGCAUUAACAACCCCCGGCACAAUGUGUGCCAAGGAAAACUAAACUCUAGAAGGCUCGUUUUCAUGYUGCCCCCGUUCGCGGUGUGCUCAUGGGACGCGGCUUCUUUAUAAUCACAAACGACUCUCGGCAACGGAUAUCUCGGCUCACGCAUCGAUGAAGAACGUAGCAAAAUGCGAUACUUGGUGUGAAUUGCAGAAUCCCGUGAACCAUCGAGUUUUUGAACGCAAGUUGCGCCCGAAGCCUUUUGGCCGAGGGCACGUCUGCCUGGGCGUCACGCAUCGCGUCGCCCCCCACAAUUCUCCGCAAAGGGAACCUGUGUUUUGGGGGCGGAUAUUGGUCUCCCGUGCUCAUGGCGUGGUUGGCCGAAAUAGGAGUCCYUUCGACGGACGCACGAACUAGUGGUGGUCGUAAAAACCCUCGUCUUUUGUUUCGUGCCGUCAGUCGCAAGGGAAACUCUURGAAAACCCCAACGUGUUGUCUCUUGACGACGCUUCGACCGCGACCCCAGGUCAGGCGGGACUACCCGCUGAGUUUAAGCAUAUCAAUAAGCGGAGGAAAAGAAACUUAC